AUUGAGCGCUGGCGGCAGGCUUAACACAUGCAAGUCGAGCGAGCGGCGGACGGGUGAGUAAUGUCUGGGAAACUGCCUGAUGGAGGGGGAUAACUACUGGAAACGGUAGCUAAUACCGCAUACCAUCAGAUGUGCCCAGAUGGGAUUAGCUAGUAGGUGGGGUAAUGGCUCACCUAGGCGACGAUCCCUAGCUGGUCUGAGAGGAUGACCAGCCACACUGGACCUGAGACCCGGUCCGGACUCCAACGGAAGGCAGCAGUGGGAAGUAUUGCACAAGGGGCGCAAGCCUGAUGCAGCCAUGCCGCGUGUAUGAAGAAGGCCUUCGGGUUGUAAAGCACUUUCAGCGAGGAGGCGUUACUCGCAGAAGAAGCACCGGCUAACUCCGUGCCAGCCGCCGCGGUAAUAC
rnacentral:rRNA from 1 species